rnacentral:rRNA from 1 species
GACGAACGCUGGCGGCGUGCUUAACACAUGCAAGUCGAACGGAAAGGCCUCUUUCGGGGGGUACUCGAGUGGCGAACGGGUGAGUAACACGUGAGUAACCUGCCCUUGACUUUGGGAUAACUUCAGGAAACUGGGGCUAAUACCGGAUAGGAGCUCCUGCGGCAUGGGGGGGGUUGGAAAGUUCCGGCGGUUGGGGAUGGACUCGCGGCUUAUCAGCUUGUUGGUGGGGUAGUGGCUUACCAAGGCUUUGCCGGGUAGCCGGCCUGAGGGGGUGACCGGCCACAUUGGGACUGAGAUACGGCCCAGACUCCUACGGGAGGCAGCAGUGGGGAAUAUUGCACAAUGGGUGGAAGCCUGAUGCAGCAACGCCGCGUGCGGGAUGACGGCCUUCGGGUUGUAAACCGCUUUCGCUCAUGACGAAGCUUUGUGUGACGGUAGUGGGUAAAGAAGCACCGGCUAACUACGUG